GGGAUCUGAUGGAUCCAUAUUAACUGUCUGCGACUGGGUUAUCCCUGAAUUCGUCAACGCACCUUUCUUGCCAUCUCCAACCCAGACCGAGGAUGCCGCUUCGCCCGAUAUGUCUACCAAUACACUAAAGCGUAAACAUCAUGUUCCUCGUGGGGAAAGACAAGCUAUAUUAGCUCGUCGAAACCAGCUAUUUGAAUCAGCCAUAUCAAGGAAGGUGGGUACUUCGAUUGAGGAUACUAGCGGUGACGCUGUUGAAGGGGACGAUUGGACACAGCGCCAUACGCCUAUGAAGAUCACCAACAAUGGUAAU
rnacentral:misc_RNA from 1 species